CAGUCGCCACGGUAAUACGUAGGUGGCAAGCGUUGUCCGGAAUUAUUGGGCGUAAAGGGCUCGCAGGCGGUUUCUUAAGUCUGAUGUGAAAGCCCCCGGCUCAACCGGGGAGGGUCAUUGGAAACUGGGAAACUUGAGUGCAGAAGAGGAGAGUGGAAAUCCACGUGUAGCGGUGAAAUGCGUAGAGAUGUGGAGGAACACCAGUGGCGAAGGCGACUCUCUGGUCUGUAACUGACGCUGAGGAGCGAAAGCGUGGGGAGCGAACAGGAUUAGAUACCCGCGUAGUCCCUGUCUCUUAUAC
rnacentral:rRNA from 1 species